rnacentral:rRNA from 1 species
GGGAUUGCCCUAGUAACGGCGAGUGAAGCGGCAACAGCUCAAAUUUGAAAUCUGGCCCUCGGGUCCGAGUUGUAAUUUGUAGAGGAUGCUUUUGGUGAGGUGCCUUCCGAGUUCCCUGGAACGGGACGCCAUAGAGGGUGAGAGCCCCGUCUGGUCGGAUACCGAUCCUCUGUAAAGCUCCUUCGACGAGUCGAGUAGUUUGGGAAUGCUGCUCUAAAUGGGAGGUAUAUGUCUUCUAAAGCUAAAUAUUGGCCAGAGACCGAUAGCGCACAAGUAGAGUGAUCGAAAGAUGAAAAGCACUUUGAAAAGAGAGUUAAAAAGUACGUGAAAUUGUUGAAAGGGAAGCGCUCAUGACCAGACUUGGGCUUGGUUGAUCAUCCAGGGUUCUCCCUGGUGCACUCUUCCAGCCCAGGCCAGCAUCAGUUCGCUGUGGGGGAUAAAGGCUUUGGGAAUGUGGCUCCUCCGGGAGUGUUAUAGCCCAUUGUGUAAUACCCUGUGGUGGACUGAGGUUCGCGCAUCUGCAAGGAUGCUGGCGUAAUGGUCAUCAGCGACCCGUCUUGAAACACGGACCAAGGAGUCGUCUUCGUAUGCGAGUGUUCGGGUGUUAAACCCCUACGCGUAAUGAAAGUGAACGCAGGUGAGAGCUUCGGCGCAUCAUCGACCGAUCCUGAUGUUCUCGGAUGGAUUUGAGUAAGAGCAUACGGGGCCGGACCCGAAAGAAGGUGAACUAUGCCUGUAUAGGGUGAAGCCAGAGGAAACUCUGGUGGAGGCUCGCAGCGGUUCUGACGUGCAAAUCGAUCGUCAAAUAUGGGCAUGGGGGCGAAAGACUAAUCGAACCUUCUAGUAGCUGGUUUCGCGAU